rnacentral:misc_RNA from 1 species
GAUGAAAGAACGUAGCGAAAUGCGAUAAGUAAUGUGAAUUGCAGAAUUCAGUGAAUCAUCGAAUCUUUGAACGCACAUUGCGCCCGCCAGUAUUCUGGCGGGCAUGCCUGUCCGAGCGUCAUUUCAACCCUCGAACCCCUCCGGGGGGUCGGCGUUGGGGACCUCGGGAGCCCCUAAGACGGGAUCCCGGCCCCGAAAUACAGUGGCGGUCUCGCCGCAGCCUCUCCUGCGCAGUAGUUUGCACAACUCGCACCGGGAGCGCGGCGCGUCCACGUCCGUAAAACACCCAACUUCUGAAAUGUUGACCUCGGAUCAGGUAGGAAUACCCGCUGAACUUAAGCAUAUCAAUAAGCGGAGGA